rnacentral:rRNA from 1 species
CUCAUUAAAUCAGUUAUAGUUUAUUUGAUGGUCUCUUUUGUCUUUUUUUACCUACUUGGAUAACCGUGGUAAUUCUAGAGCUAAUACAUGCGCAAGGUCCCGAGCGCGGGGGGCAGGGCUUUACGGCCCUGUCCUCGCAUGCGCAGAGGGAUGUAUUUAUUAGGUUGAAAACCAGCAGCCAGCAAUGGCUACAAUCUCCUGGUGAUUCAUAGUAACUUUUUCGGAUCGCAUUCAUG